rnacentral:lncRNA from 1 species
CCCCUCGGUGACCACAACCUCGACGGCCAACUCAUCAGCUCCGACUCCAGUCACCCCGGCUGCGGCGGCUGACUCGCCACCCACCCCCUCCAUAGACCUCCUCGGCCGCCAGCUCGCAGCAGGGGACUACCGCCAGGCCGAUGAGACCACCCGUGCGCUCCUCAUCGAGCUCGCAGGGGAGUCCGCACGGCGCCGAGGGUACGUCUUCUUCUCCGAGGUCCAGUUCAUCUCUGCUGAGGACCUCCAGGCCAUUGACAAGCUCUGGAAGGAGCACAGCAAUGGCAAGUUCGGGUACAGUGUUCAGCGUCGGCUUUGGGAGAAGUCACGGCGUGACUUCACCCGCUUCUUCAUCAAGGUUGGCUGGAUGAAGAAGCUAGACACCGAGAUAGAGCAGUACAACUACAGAGCGUUCCCUGAUGAGUUCAUGUGGGAGAUUAAGGAUGACACACCUGAGGGUCACCUGCCGCUCACCAAUGCCCUCAGGGGGACACAGCUCCUGGGGAACAUCCUCACCCACCCGGCCUUUGAGGAGAGCCAGGAAGACGAAGCCACAGCAGAGAGUGCCACCAGUGGUCAGAGCACAGAUGAUAACAAAGGGAAGGAGAGACCAAAGUUUAUGAGAGAUUUCAAGCCUAACUACUCGUUUUGAGGCUGGCCAAAAAUGGCAUGGGUGUUUGUGAUGCAGAGAUGCUGGCAUGGUGCAAUUGAUUUAAAAGAACAUGUAUCUGUAGUUCUGUUUGUCUUACUUUGUCUUGAACAUGCAUGAAAAAAUGUGCAAUAUAUUAUGAGUAUAAUUGGUUCAGGUGUUUGCUCUGCACAUGAAUGAUGCUUGCAGACAAGAAAGUGUAACAGCCUGCGCAGGACAGCCACAAAUCUAAAUUAUGAGGAAAGCAUGGAUGCAAUGCAUCUCGCACUCGAUGGUAUGUAUAUAGCGAUAGAGUAACGCAUUACCGAUGCUGCAUGCAUUCAUUCAGCAGGCAACAUCCUUCCAAAUACCAUGCAAAGAUUUGCAGGUACCCCAUUUCCUUCUGCAUCCAUGAUCCUGCCCGAAAAUAGGAGCAGAAUAGGAUGUUUGUGUUUGAGGGCUUGAAGCAACCAGUACACAGAAUGGUUGUUCAUCAUGGGGGUGAUGGAGAACCACUGGUUUUCAGCUUAUCGUCUCCACUUGUUUCCUGUCCAGUGAAUGUGACUGACGUGAGAAAACCUACUCUGUCCAUAUCUUGGCAAUUAAAUGAGUCUAUAGCAUGAUAGAAACUUUUUCAGGGAAAACUACCUCUCUAAUCUCUGAUGUAUGUCACAUUCCUUUUUUCCUUCUCAUGCGCAUGGACAGAGCCUCCGGGUAUGCUGAUGUGAACCGUCACAUGUGAGCCGUUCAUCCAUCUGCAUGUAUAAGCAUGCUCCUGGAUUCUGAAAUAGAAGCCAAAUGAAAAUCAGUUCCACAUUUUAACUAUGAUUAUUUUAUGUUUACAUGCACAACAUCAAUGUAGAAAGCACCACCACAACUGAAAAUUUCAAGUCAAUAGGCAGUACAGGCAUUCCCUCAUGCAGCAUUGCGAGCUUAACAACUGCAGUCACUAAUGUUACUCAAUUGCGUAUUUCACUGGGGUCCAAUGCAUAGAUAUCAUAAGCAAGGAAUCCACUGAAAUUUUGUACUAUUUCAAUUACAAUAAAGGAGACAAAGUUAACUAUCAGCCAUCUAAUUUUGCAUAGCAGGGAUAUCAUGAGACAUUGAUUGUGAAAACAAACAACAAUGAUAAUAAUACGUAAUAUUCCUUUCAGAAGGUAUCGGACAAAACGAUGAAGAAAGAGGUGAACACAACUUAGGUGGCUUUGGGGACUGAUGUUGAUGCAAUAAUUUUUGUCAAAAGUAAUCUGAUAAAUUUCUCAUCAAUCCAUCAAAUCCUCUCAUAUAUCUCCACCCACUGUCAUAUGUGAAUCUCUAAAUCUUGCAUCCAAAUGCCAUUUGAGAUGCCACCAAGUAGAUGCUUGUGGUGCUGACCCAACUUUGUCAGUGUCAAAGCAGAGAAAUGAUAAUAUCUGAAACAUAAUAGUUUAAACAUAUAAAGAGUGUUCAAAUUGAAGCUGAAUUUGUUCAGAUGUAUCCAAUGAGGCAGUGGAAUCAGAGAUGGCAUGAUCAAUAAUGAAUUUUAUGAGGUGAGAAGUUUGUCAACUCCCAAAAGUUUAUGUAACGAUACCCUUCAGAUGGGCAAGGAUUACGUUAUGCAGAUAAACAGAUUGGAAGCCAUGGUAUCUCUCUAAUUAAGAAUCUAUGUAUUGCAAAGAAAGUAGGAUCAUAUCUUUAAGUUCCCAUUUAUAAUUGACUUAAGGGUCAAAAUAUCUCCCUCUAUAUAGAGUGAGGGGAUAUAUAGUAUUUAGGUUCAUUCAGGAGAAGCAAAGGGCUUAGCCAUGGCCACCGCAUUCCCCUCCCUCCUAAAUUCCUAAGCACUAACACUUUGUUAGUAAGUUGGCUGACUAUUUUUCAGAAAUUGGCAUAAGCGCAGCAUUGAGUGGCAGUUUGAAGUAUGUGCAUUUUUUCUCGAACGACGCAUGAGAGCUGCGUGUCAUUUCAUUUAAGGAAGAAAGAAGUAUGGGCACAAACAGCAUAACCAGAAGAGUGACCCAUAUAACCUGAGCUGUGAGAACUGAGAACAUCGGAUCAAACCUUUUAACAGUAUGCAUGUGGUGAAACUGCUAGAGAUGAAACUGAGAUAAACAAUAGUCCAAGAAAAAAAAACAUAAGUCAUAUUAUUCAUACCAAGCUGGUCGGAGCUUCAUCAACAACUUCAGCAGGCUGAUCUGGUCCAAGGCUGCGAAAGCAGCCGCUUUUGCAUCUCAUAUAUUUCUGCAAACUGGUUUGAACAAUUGAGUGCAAGCGAUCAUUAUCUUGCAUGGAUGUACAAACAGAAAACACACAGACACGAAUAUUGCUCCAGUUUGUAUUAUCUAAUUUCCACCAAGAAAAUUUCCCUUGGAUGAUGAUGUAACAUGAAUGAGUUUAUUGAGCAUCAAGUGAGGAUAUGAUGAUAGAUCUAUUUUCACAGCAAGAAACAAAAUCUAGAAGUAACAAGCUGCUAUAUGGCAAGCUGCCAAGCUAACACAAGUAAUUAUAAACAAGAACAGAUACUUCCUAUCAUGAAAGACCAACUAACAAAAUGAUAAAAAUAACAAGGUACAUAAGAUCCGGAGGAGGUCCAUAGCGAAUUUGCCUGAUAAUUUAUAUUAACGAUAUUAGUGAUUGUGCUCAUGCAGGUUUAAUAAAAGUUAUGUCUGCUUUACAUUGGAGCCAGAUGUGCCCUUCAAUUUUCAGUGAGUCUUAUACAUGAUAUAAAAUUAUCUCAAUGAAAACUUGUGUUGAUGCUGGUGGAUUGAAAACAGUUGAGAAGUAAGACAUGUAAAUAGCAAAAGAAACUUUUCAAGUUUUUAGGUGACAGCUUGGAAUGUUUCAGGCGUCACUUUAAUACUGACGGACUCAUCCAGAUACAGUCUACUGUUGGCUGUUAAAUUAAGUUAGGUUCUGAGUAAUCUCUUGGUCAACAUUUACUUCAAGCCCACCCCCGAUACAAUGAAAAUGUAACUUCCUAUGUGACUAGUCAGCUAAAAAGUAAUUGUUAUAGCAUGGCAUGUGUGUCAUUUGCAAUUGAAGAAUAAUUGACUGAACUGUAACGGUGACAUGUUAUUUGAAGAUAAUCAAUUGGACUUACAUCUCACAUUUGUUCAAGACAGAGAGCCUGCUUGGAACACAUGACUGUCCUCUUACUUUGCAAACCAAGCUGCAAGAUUCCCCUGGCCUAAAAUUCAUUUGAGAUCCAUAAAGCAGUUCCUAGGUUCUCAUUCACUUUACAGAUAUGUGCUUAAAGUGGAAAGGCCUUACCUUCCUACUACGACGUUAAUGCCCAACAACUUUGAUACAGAACUAGAUUCAGUUGAUCCUGCAGAAUAUUUACAUUCCAUGAUCAUUUCCAAUCAUAUAAUUCAAAACAAUGCAUCAUGGGCACUAGUAAUGGACCAAUAGACAGAAAGGUACCAGAUUGUGAGCUGCUAGCACAGACUGUCCAGAUUUUAGUCAAAGAUAAUAAGGGAAGAUCUUAUCACUAUCAAAGUUCUCAAGCAUCCAUUUAUAAAGACAAUAAGUUAAUAAACGGCUAUCAAUGUCAUAAUUUUCCCUAGGAUUGAUUCCAGGACAUACCCUAAGUUACAUAUUUUCUGGUAUGGCUAAUGCUGCUACACUGUUGAAGAGGCCAGGAGAUGGCUAGUCAAAAGCUAAUUGCCAUAGCAAGUUGGCCCUACCUGUAUCUAUAUAAAUCGCUACUUAUGGCUCAUGUCACAUUAGCUUCAGCGGAGCUGAACCAGACUAUUCGAAACGGGAAGGAGGUAAAACUGGGCUAUUUUCCACUCCUAGUGGGGAUUUGGAUGUUUCAAAAUAUUAACAUGCACAUGGAUAUGAAUCCCAAGGGUAGAGAGUAUUAGUGUUUACUUAAAUAAUUCAGUUCUAGCAGUAAUGAUCUGAGAACAUGGUAGUUUAGGUCUACCAGUAAUGAUCUGUGAACAUGUUACAACUGAAGUUGUAUUAUGAAAUACAAUUCAUAGUAUGGACUCAUACCCGAAGAAUUUUGCUGCAUGGCAAAACAAUGAUGGAAGUCACUGGCGUAGGCAUUCUCAUGAACCUUGUAAAUGGAAAGAACAAAUUAAUUAGACUGAACUAUUUGGACAAGCAGUUGUUGUAACUAAUAUUAAAAAAUAUGAAACUGCCACAACUCCUCAUUUUAGGUAAAACAAGUGAGGUAUGACAUAAAGUAGAAGAAUUGUUGUAUUGGUACUCUAUGGGGGAGGAAAAAGCAGUACCACACUUGCAGAGUUAUGGCGGCAUCUUCCCAUGCAGAAAUCAAAAACAUUUGUGUAUGUUCCUGAAGAAAACUAAUUGUAAACUUCAUGCACCAUAUUACGAAUUCACCAAUUAAUAACUUCACACAUCUUACCAGCAGUAACUGGCUUAGCUACCUUCAGCUUCAGCACAUCUUCUUUCUUGGUCUGACAAAAAGGGCAAGUAAAAAGUUUAAUACAAUUCAUUUUUGUAUGCCAGACCUGGUACUCCUUGUUAGGAUUUACCUUAGAAGGAUUCAAACAGCAAGAAACACAAUAUUCAUAAGAGUUGCAGCACUGUAAAUCAAGUUUGCAGCCCCUGGAUUAUGUCAUGAAGACUUAUGUCAGGUUGACAGGGUUAACUAGUUCAGAUGGAGUGUUGCAUAUAAGGUGCGACAAAAGAUAGGAAACUCACUGGCAGGAAAAGCGAUCCCUUGUUGUUGGGCAGCAGUGAGACCAUGGAUUGAUUGAAAGUGCAGAGCACACAUAACCUACAAGGGAAAGUGGUUUAUCAGUGAGAAAUGGUUGAAGGAUAGUGCAGCAUUGACAGGAAAAAUAAUCUAAGCAAGACAAAGGAACAGGAGUAUUGCCAUUAUCAUCAGAGAUCAGAUGCCGUCCCUGAACAGUGCUUCUGCAUAUAAUUGGUUCAAUAAAGCUGUCCUUCCUGCGCAACAUUUAAAGGCCUGUCCUUAGCUUUACUUGAAAUAUACACAGCAAAAUAGCUCUCAUAUUCGGAAUGACAAGAAUGUCCCAAUACUAGACUGAUACACAUGCUGCAUUAUGCAAUGAAAACUUUGUCCUGGUCCCAGAAACAAGGUUAAAGCGCAAUAUGAUUACUGAACUAGUACCUAGUAUCUGGAAGUAUUUUUCAUCAAUCACCAUCCCUACCCAACUUUUAUCUAUAUAUAUCUUUCUUACUAGCCUAAUCUACACUCCUCCCUUCCAAAAUUCCAUCCACACUAAGCUUCCUCAUUGCUUCUCUCUUCCAAUCCUACCUCACUACCAGCCCUUCUGCUAGUGAUUUGUGAUAUUGCACGAAAAUCAAACGGCCCAAUGACAGAGGACCCCACUGACCAUGAAAACAUUGUCAAAGAUUAGUGGCAUUUACCUGUGUGCAUCGGCACAGAUAGCUACCGUUCCCAUACUCCCCAAUCAGUGGCUCUAGCAUGAACAAAUAGAACCGUGUCGAAACAUAAACAUAAAAGCAUCCUGAUUUUAUAAAAGUAAAAUUAGCUAGGCAUACACACAAUUUCCCCCUCACAGUAUACAGAUCAACAGAAUCAAGCUUGAGGUCCGUCCCAAUCCGUGACCAAGUGAAUCCUAACUAGUCUGAAUGCUAGCCUUCUCUACAGAGAACCUUUUUUAUGCCGAGAGCUGAACUGACCGCGACGAGCACGGGGGCAAAGAGAUUUGGGUCCUCUAGCAUAGCAAAGCCAGCAAGGGAAGUGCGGAGCUCACCGGAUACCGGAGACCGGGGCGGGAAAGCAGGCGCAUGCGGCGACGGCGAAGGCGGCGGCGAGACGGAGGAUCCGGCGGAGGAGGGGGCGCGGGCCAGCCAUCCCGCCGGCGGGAUCGGAGAGGCGAAAGGAAUGGGGAGGAGCGGAAGGACGGAGUCGGGAGUGUUCAGGCCGUGCCGACGUGGCAGAGCCGUUUGGCUGCUGAAUUAAAAUUUGAAAUUUGGGAAUGGCCAAAAUGAAAAUGCAAAGGAAUCCAGCAUUCAUGUUUGAGAGAAGCCUCCAACAUAAUAAUUUUUUUAAAAAAAUCCAUUUUAACCAUCAUUAGUGUAGAAUUGGACAACAUAAUUAAGAGUUUGCAAUCUUAUCUCUAUCUCUUCAACAACAAGUCCCUUUACAAUAUUAAUAAGGAAAAAAAGCAUGCAUUACCUCCGGUGAUCUCUAACAAAAAUCUAAAACUCAAUCUCCACAAACCAGAAGCUAAACCCCCUCGACCCUAUACUAGUCUGGCUUUUGUAUUUGCUGGUAUCCACGUCCUAGUUAGCAAAGGGGCGCGUAAAAUAGCACGUGUAGCACCAAGUCGCUUUCCCCUUCAUGCUGCCCGUCACUUUCCCCUUCACACCGUGCCCCCGCGGUUCUCGCAGCUCCCUCUGUCGCCGAUUUUCUAUAUCAUCCUGGGGCAAAUGCACAAGGGAAGGAAGGCGAUUCUCAUGGUGCAAGCUAACUACUCAAAUCCCCAAGGGUUAAGUUACCUGAGAUACGGGCUUGGUGUUCUUUUGAUUCCCUUUGACCUAUGUUCUUUCGAUUAGGGUUAGGGAUCUAGUGCUCCACCUGAAUGAUAUGGACAAGCUUGCUUUUAGAUUUCAUUAUGGUGGAGAAUUUUUCUUUUGAUGGGAAUAGUAUGCAAUAUAUCUCGCUGAGUCUGAAGGAAUGUCUUACAUAGGAGUAUCUUACGUAGAACAUGAUUUGAUUUCAUUACCUGAGAUUCUGACCCACCUGAAGGACCAUGUAGUGGUUGUGGAUGAUGUUUUGAUGCAUUGGUUAUAUCGUGGUAAAGAUCUAAACAAUGGGCUUAGGGUGCUGCCAACAUAUGAUAAAAAAAAUAUAGUAACUGAAAUUAUUAUGAUAAAAAACUAAUUGUUAGUAGUAUCUUAAUCCACAUCCUUGACCCUGAUGAUUGUGUUGCACCCCAAGUGGUAUUAUAAGUCAACAAAGAAUAGUAUUAAGAAAAUUCUCCGAAGUCUAUUAAUAUGGUUGGUGUGGUUGGACAUGUGAAUCAUAUAACUACAUUGUGGUUAUAUUCUGCAAUUGAAAUUUAGAAACCGUGUAGUUAUAUCCUACAUAUGGUUUCUAAUUUUAAUCGCAACAUAUAACUAGUAGAUUAAAGGUACAAAGAUAUAAAAACGGAUUUGAUUAUAUUUUGGAAUAAAUUUGUAUCCUAUUUAGAAUGCAUUUAAUUUGAGAACAACUUAUAGAAUGAAAAUGGUCAUAGUUUUUUAUUUGGAGGAGAUGAGGUUAUCCCUGUUUUCAUGUUUUUUUCCUUUCUCAUUCUCCUCUUUGAUAGUAAUGAGGGCUCGACAAGGUAUAGGACUGAGGUUGCUGCGUGCGUUGAUGUAUGUGGCAUAUUGGUCCAACAACUUAUAAAUGCUCAAUUUUAUCCAAUAACUUGGCAAAUUGGUGCACCUACAGUUCAACAUUACAACAACAACAUAUUUAGGAAAGCGAGACAUAUGAAUUUUCUUUCGGACAAUAAUUUCUAAUUUUUUUCAAUAAAAGUUGUUGAUCGUGACCAGGUUGUUGCUUCUCAACUGUGUGUAUAGCUUAUUUGUUCAUUAUUUACAUUUGAAUCUAAUUUUAAAUUUACGUCAUUGGCUUUAGAAAACAGAGAAACAAGGACAAAAACGACACUUUAUAAAUUUUAUCUUUAUUUAUUAGCCAUGCGUCCAAAUAUAUAUAUAGACUAAAAUUUAAUUCGAAAGUUUAGCUAGAGAGUUAGAGGCGAUGCGAUACACCACGGAGACUACCCGAGGUACCACAAACAAACAGUCACGCAGUGGGAUGCAGCACCACAAGCCACACGCAAAUGUUUCAAACGCGAGGAAAACAAGAAAUCUCCAAACCCAACAAAGAUGGGGUAACCGAACGACGAGCAAGACCCGCUCGCAGCUAAAACCCUAGCUUAGCGGCGCGGGCACGGAUGCCCCUCGCUCUCCUCCUCUCCCGCAUUCGCCUCUCGCCGGCCGCCAUGCGCACCACCCGCUCCGCCGCCUCCGCCAGGCUAGUCCGCGCCGACCUCAACCCAGGUGUUGUGAAAACCCAUUUUCUUGCCCUUUUAAUCUCAGCGGAUCUUCUUUUCCCCCUUUAAUAGCCCAUUGUUUAAGUUACGUACUAUUUUUCUUGCUCUAUUUACUUCGCCGUUAAGUCCAAAGGCUUUAUUUCGUUUAUCUAGUGGCGUAAGGACGGGAUUCCUCUUGAAAUGGUACUUAUUAUCCCCCAAUUUGCUCCGCCUGGUCUGUGCCUAAAUGUUUGCCGCAGAAAUUGCUAUCAAUUAGUGCCUAGGCUGCGCAAUUCGUUUAAUAUGUUGGGUGGAAUCAGUGUCCUACCUGGAUUAGCCUUUUCUUCGUGAGUUUAGGCUGCUCGUUUAUAUGAUGCAAGGGGGAAAUCGUUUUUUUUUCCCGGAAGUUCUUUUCAUAUAUAUUUCUUCUUUAAUUUGCUCUGGAAACAUUUGUUUGGUUUAUGUGGAUUGAACAAGAUGAGUGGGAUUAACACUUAUGAGUUAAUUUUUAAAUCUUUGUUCCAACUUCAAGUGUACAACAGCUAUCUUAAUCUUCCUACAGCUAUAUCUGACUGUCAGUACCUGUUCGUGAUUUUUUCAACAAUUUUAAUAUAGUUUAUGUCCUUGUCAAUAAAGCAUGUGUUUCAUCCCUUGCAGUUGUACGAGAAGUGAAACGUGAAUCCAGUAUUUCAUUUGACAUUUCCAAGCCUGAAUCACCUUCUGUUAAGAGGAAAAGGGUAAAGCAAGAGCUUGAAGAAAAUGGGGAGCAUCCUAAGAAGCAGGUGCUUGCUGAUAAUAUAGAAUGUGUUUACAUGAAUAAAUCAAUCUUCAUGUGUUUCUCAUUUUUCUUUCUGCACCAUUGAUUUAAAUUGUUUCUCUUGAGCCGUAACUCUUUGAUGCAAGUGUACCUUUUGUAUUUAGCUACAUUUAUUUGCUCAUGUUGUUACCUUAGUAUUAAGUUUCAUGCUCUCCUCAAUCGGAAAAUGUCCUAUGUAUAUGCAGGCUGGUAUUGUACCUGACAUUGAGGAUUUUCGAUACGACAAGACCAAAGCAUCGACAUCAUCAAGUAAGGCAACACCAGCUUUGGAUAAGAACAGCUGAUCAGAUAAUCUUUUUGAGUUUCUUCUCAAUGGUCUCUCAAGCCAAAUGUUCAAUAUGAGUGUGUACAUAUGCUUGGAUUACUUGCGGUUGUGGAGAAGCUAUUAAGGUUAAGAGUGUUUUUAGCACGGCCCUUGAUUUUCACAAUUGGGACUACUUUUUUCUUUCUCCAGUAGUCCAAGUCCAACUGGGUCUUUUAACUCGUAAAUGAUUUCAGUUAUUGGUAUUUGUCCAUACUUUGCUAUUAAUAUUUAUUUUUUGCUUCGUGGUACCUUUCAUCAGGAUAAUCUGCUUGCAAUAUUACAAUCUUGUUUACAAUAUCUGCCAUGUCUUGCAAAAAAGCUCUAACACUUGCCUUCUUCAGUCAAGGUGGAGAAAAAGGUCAGAGUUUCUUCAGUUAUAAAAGGUACUCGUAGGUCAUGUUCGUUUUCUUGUUAUCCCAUGUUUCCUUUUUGCAAGCUUAUAUCAAGGCAAGUCUAUUAGUGACAACAAUAUCUCCUUGAAGUUUUGGACUAAGAUUAUUGAUUAUUUUUCAUGUAAUGCUCACAUAUUUAUAUUUCUUUGGGUUACUAAAAUAAAGUCACUGGAUUGAAACUCUGUUCUUCUAGCAUGUGCCCAAUCUAGCCACACUGCCACACACCCACAAGUGGGGUCUUACAUGGUCAGGAUAUGUUGUGGGCUUUUCAUUUCUCAGUUUCCCAUACACAACUGUAUUAUCAUAAAGUCCAUAAUUUUGUUAUGUUUUGGAGCUAGAUUAUUUUCUUCAUGAUUUCCCCUUAUAGUAAUGCUAGACAAAAAAGACAAUCUUGUUACAGUUAAAGUAAUUGAUUAAAAACUUAAAUUAAACUUAGUGUUUCCUCAUUCCACACAUCAGUGCAUUUUUCCACCUUCGUCAUGUUGCGCCAUGGAAAACAAAUAUGUUAAGACCAGAUCUGUUGAUGGCUGUAUUAGGCAUUUAUUUCUUCUUCAUUUGAUAGGUAUCCUUCUUAUGUCCAUGUACCAUAAGAAAACUAAUGUAGCUAUUUGUGCAGUUGGAGCUCCAGAAAAUUGGGAGGCAGUUCUUGGGGGUAUUAAAAACAUGAGGUUAUCUGGCCAAGCCCCCGUAGAUACGAAGGGCUGUGAAAAAGCUGGUUCUCUCCUUCCACCCAAGGUAGUUUUUGUGACUAAAUCAUCUUUUCAACUAUAUAUUUUUUCUGUAAAAGAUCCAUUUUGGUAUGACACCAUGACUUGUCCCAAAUUUCUUUCAUGCUGGAUACUAGUGGAGCUCUUUGGUUAGGCCUUACAUAGGUAGCAUUGAAGUAGUGCAAUUCACCAGCCAAUCCUUGUGCUGUGUUACCGUAUAAAAAUAAUGCAGUUCUUUUUCCUAGUCUAGACAUAAAAGUUCAGUCUGUGCAUGAAUUUUGUGCCAAAUAGAUUGCAAAUUCACCACAUUUAUAGCUCUUUACUUAUUCACUUCUUUAUAGUAGAACUCAUGCCUUUUUUUUCUCAGGAAAUAAUUUUGUUUAUUCAACCCAUCUAGUUUAUCACUAAUUUUUCCAUUAGUAAAAGGUUUAGGUCCAAUUGUAUGGAAUGAAGUUAUGUGAAUCAUUUUCAUCCAUGAAUCAAUACUUCUCUUCCUGGACAGGAAAGAAGAUUUGCAGUUCUGAUAUCAACUAUGAUGUCAAGCCAAACAAAAGAUGAAGUUACGCAUGGUAUGCCUUCAAAAUUUCCUUAAUUGGAAUUGGUUAUGCCUGUUUGUUGAGAGCACUCAGUGACUCAAACAUCGGUACCAAUUAUCAGUUCAGUCAUAGCCAAAGGAAAUUCAGUACAGCAAACUUUGUUCCUUUUUUCUUUUUCUUUUUUUUUUUUUUUGGGGGGGGGGGGUGGCGCUUGAGAUUCUCUCUGGGCCCAGGAAAUCUUUUUUUUUAAAAAAUUUCAUUGCUGUUUUUGUACUAAAUCUAAAUACUUGUCCUUCAUAAACGCGCUGAAUUGCUGAUUGCAUUUUUGGAAUCAAUUCUUGUCAGCUGCUGUGGAACGUCUCUCUGAAAAUGGUUUACUUGAUCCUGAUGCUAUAGUCAGGACUGAUGAGGCCACGCUUGCAAACCUUAUCAAACCUGUAAGUUACAAGGGGUGUUCACCUUCAUCAUUCAUAUGUCAAUAAUUAGCAUGCUGGAUGGAUGUACCAAAAAACAAAUGAUGUUAGCAGCAUAGAACUGCUUUUGUUAUCACAUCAGGUUUGCAAAUACACCAGAAGUUACAUUAUCUGAAACUGAACAUUGCUUUAGGCUAAAGAUGCUUAGAAGCCAGAAGCUUACAAGUUUCUCAGAUUGAUGUCUCACACCAUAUUAUUCAUUAUUUUAUCAGGUUGGAUUCUAUCAGAGAAAGGCUCAGUUCAUAAAAGAAGCUUCUAAAAUUUGCCUUGAGCGUUUUGGAGGGGAUAUUCCAGAUUCUCUGAAUGACCUGCUUGCUUUGAGAGGAGUUGGCCCUAAAAUGGCUCAUUUGGUAAUAAUCUACUUAUACCAUUUGUGGUUGAAAUAUAAAUAAAAAUAUCUUCAUUGAUACCUUUCUUCAACUUGACAGGUGAUGAGCAUUGCUUGGAAGAAUACUCAAGGAAUUUGUGUUGACACUCAUGUGCAUCGCAUUUCUAACCGUCUGGGGUGGGUUUUCCGAGAAGGAACAAAACAGGUAGUUUGGAUUUGGUUUGUGUUUGCUUCUCUUCUUGUAAGAAAAUUACAUUACUAUCAAUUAUGAGGUUGGGGAAUAGCCCUUAUGUUGCUAUGUAUCAUGCGCAGAAAACUACAACACCGGAACAGACAAGAAUCUCUCUAGAGAAGUGGCUACCCAAGGAUGAGUGGGAACCCAUAAACCCAUUACUGGUAUUUUUCUACGAACUAUUUCUUAUUUUUAGCACUGCAGUACUUUUUUUCUUUGUUUAUUUAGGUUGAAGGCUUUUGUUCUAUGCUAUCCGAAUCCUUCCUUGAGUGCAGAAGUGCUAGUCUAUGCUGAAAAAAAACUGGAAAAUGUAUUGUAGGUUGGAUUUGGACAGACUAUCUGCACUCCACUGAGGCCCAAAUGUGACAUGUGUGGCAUCAAUAACCUUUGCCCUUCAGCUUUUAAGGAAUCAUCUAGUCCAAAUCCAAAGCAAAAGAAAACAAGGUCUCCAUAGAACUUUGUUGAUGACUGAUCUGGCACCGAAGGUAGAUAAUGCUUUUGGGUUGUCCUUUGGUGGUAGAUAUUAUUGGGCAUUCUUUUGGUUGAUCUAUUGACGUGUGAUCACCUUGGUGCGAGUACCAUUGGCAAACCAUGUAUCAUUUUGUAUAGCUGUAAUAUGUUCAAGAUGAUGGUUAGACUUAUCGUUCCUAUCAGUUACUCUAACGGCCUGUUUGGAAGGCAGGUUGUCGGUCCAAACAGACCUGAUGAAGACUUGCACAUGCCUGAACUGAAAAUUCUGCCCGUAUGGGUGGUAAACCCAAUUACAUGUUAAUGUUAAGCCUGUAUAUUCAGCCUUUCUAAAAGAAAAUCGUUUGUCUGGGUUCAUACUAAUUUUACGACAGAAGUCGGGCUGAAGGACCAUGAGUCCAUCUGCAAGGACAAUGAAAGCAAUAUGGCUCAGGAAUAGGAGAUUGAUUAGGGUGCAGGCCACCAGGGUUUCAUAUAUAGCUAGGGUCUUUAGGGUCUAUAGAAACACCACCAAUUAGGAGAUCCUAGCGAUAACAUCUGAUUAGGGGUGGUGCACGGCAACAGGCCUGUACGGCCAGCACCCAAAGGCCUAGCGAUAACAUCUGAUUAGGGGUGGUGCACGGCAACAGGCCUGUGCAAGGCCCAUAGGGCCGGCCAAGCUAACCUGUCUAACACACCCUGCAGUCUGAUCGUUGGGUUGCUGGACAUUCAGGCGUUGGGUCGCUGUACAUUCAUGCUGGAUUUGAACUCUGAAAACAUCGAGGAUCACUAGUUGAAAUCGUAGCUUCCAUGAAGAAUGACUUAUGUCACUGUGAAGGCCAAAUUCAUCGUAAAGGAAGUUUUGUGAUGAAUUUCAAUUCGUUAAAAAUCGAGCGUCAAGUUUGUAUUUCCGUGACGAAAUGAUCAAAAACGUCACAGAAUUGAUUUCAUCUAUGAUGAAAAAACUUUCAUCACGGAACCAUUUCCUGUUCUAUAGCGUGACGCGAAAAAGCGCGACGCAAAAACGUCAAAGAAUAUUCGGAUCCACAUGUCCCCGUUCAUGCUGGCAGCUAACAUGGCGCCGUCCACGCUGGCAAGUGACGUGGCUCGAAUACGCACGCGACAUGGCUUCGUCCACACUGGUAGGUGACGUGUCGGGCAGCACGUGUCGCAAAGAUGACCGCCACGUGGCUAGCUAACAUAAGGCCAUGUGUCGAGAUGAUGCAAGUCAACGUGUCAUUAUUCUAAGCACCCAUGUGUCUCCUUCUCGUAUCGACACGUGUCGUCUUUUCAAUCGGCCCACGUGUCAUUUUCUUACGUGUCCACGUGUCAUCUUCCUGUUUGUCCAUGUGUCCUUUCCUGUGUGUCCACAUGUCAUUUUCCUAUUGGUCCACGUGUCUUUUUUUUACAUCUCCACGUGAAAUUUUACUACUGGUCCACGUGUCAUUUUCCGGCUGUUCCACGUGUCAUUUUCUUAGAGGUCCACGUGUCUUUUUCUUAUUAGUCCACGUGUCAAUUUCUGAUCAGUCCACGUUUCCAUUUCUGUUUAUGAUAAAUGUUCUUUUAUGUUUUGCCCACGUGUCAGUUCCCGAUUAGUACACGUGUCAGUUUCUUAUUGGACCACGUGUCAGUUUUGGACCACCAUGUGUCUGUUCGUGGAGGUUAUACGUGUCCAUAUCAUGCAUAUCCACAUUCAUACAGAACCAUUUUAUCACAAAUCACCAAAUGAUACAACAGAGUUCACAGAAAUGUAACAACCAAAUAAGUUUAUGACACCACCGCAAUUAUUUAACUGACAGUUCAGUACCACAUAAGCACUGUUGGUUACGACAGAAUGCUAAGUACUGCUUAUAACACCACCGCAUUUAUUUAACUGCCAGUUCAGUACCAUAUAAGCAUAGGAGGUUACAAUGGAAUGCUAAGUACUGCUGAUAACAGUUCCACACACAUAGGAUCAGGGCUGAGAAGAGGCACAAGGGGUGUUCAGGUUCAAGAUCCUCAUAAGGAUGACAUUGCUCUGAUUUUGUUGCUUCUUGAGCUUCUCAUACUGUCUUUGAGUUCUCGCUAGUGCUUCCUCUGUUGCUUCAGUCUUCUUCUUUAGUUCUUCCACUUGUUGAUGUAGAAUAACUGAACCUUGUUUUUCAGAAGCAAGUUCUUGACAAAACGCUUCUUCACUAGCUGACUGAGACUUGGAGGAGUUUGUGGGUAUACCAUCAUUCUUCAAGAAAGUGGUGUUGGAGCUGUUCUAUGAGAGGACCUUGGAAACAACAUCAGCACUAGGCAAUGGUGGCUGCCCAUCAGCAACAUGUUCUGCCCGCAUAGUUUCUAUUGGCGCCUAUAAAAUGCAAAGGUGAACUAUUAGGAUACUAAUUAUAGUAAAAAAAAGAUUAAGUAAAUAAACUGGGAACAAAGGCAGACUGAAUAACUGCUACUAAAUAGUGUUAAUUUAACACACCACUGAAAGAUAGAGAAGCAAUGAAUGUUAAAACUAUAUGAUGCAGCGUGUGCAGAGAAGUGUUGGAGAAAGGACAAAAGUUUGAAGAAGGAUUUGAUAAAUGGUUUAUGAAUCAUGUAGGUUAAUGGCAUAUUAUCAUUUAUGGAAGUGACUAUCUUGUUGAGCAUGACAACAAAUAGAAAUUAAAAUUCUAAACGUCCAGCAAAUUAGCUAAUUCCUGGAAAAGCAAAUAAGUAUGUAUAGGACUUACAACUGCUUCUCUAGCCACGUCACUCAUACCCUUCUUGCAGUUGGUAUGGCAGACCUUGAAGGCUUCCACUGCAUCGACUUCUUCGUCAGCUUCAUCAACUUGUUCCUGGGGUUCAUCCUCGUUGACUUCAGCGUGUUCUGCAUCCUUGUUCUUGUUCUUGAAUUGAUGUACCGAGAAGGUGGUCAGAGAAACAACAAAACCAUAACAAUCAAGCAGAAACAACUGAUAAACACUAGACACCCUAAUAAUAUUUUGUUUUAUUGGUCGAAUGUAGAUGAGAGACAGACAAUCAAGCAGAAAGAAAGAGUGGCACUUGCUACGAGAGACAGAAUCAAGUGGAAGUGAGGCGUGUAUGUACUCAUUCAAGAAAGUAGAAGAAUGAAAAGGUUACAUUAGAAGACUAUUGACACUUACAUAUGAAUGUAAUUGUGCAACGUAGCAGUGAGAUCCUAUUGCUUGAGGCCACCUGACUCUAGCCCAACUUUAGCCCUGUUUCGCUUGUUCUGAUCAGAAACUGCUUGCAAGAGAUGUAUGUGUUAGUCUCUAUCACAAGUACAUACUUGAAAGCACACCAAGAGAAAUUACCUUGAUGUGUGUAGUUGACCACUUGUCAACAAGUUUACACCACUGUGCAUCAGUCAUGUAGGAGACAUGAGAGGUUGUGGGUAUCUCAUUAGCAGGGGUGCCAACGAAGUGUUCCUUCUUCAACUUAUACCACCUCUGCCACAUCCCUAACUUGAAUACAUUGACACAAGCAUCUGUUGUUGCCUUGUCCCUUCUGUCAAUUGCUAACCUCCCAGUGAUUAGAAUUGAAAUCCAGUUACACAAGGGCCAUAUAAGAGUUGAAUGUAAAAUAAGGAGUAGUAUAUAGGCACUCACAGAUGGCCUUCCAAGAAGCCCUCAAAAUGUUCAGUCUCUUCCAUGUAGUCUUUCCAAUGGGGAAAGAUUGGAACUUGAAACCUAACAAUAACACCAGCCUCUGAUGCAAACUUGGCAGCUUGCACCGGUUCAUGCGGCCUGGUGUUCCCCUCAGCAACAGAGAUGGGCAUCCUUCUCCCCAUAGCUUUGGUCAUCUUAUCAAGCAAAAUUCCCCUAGUUGUUGGCCUUGCCUUCCUCGGGCCACGUCUUUAUGUAGGUGCUGCAGAGAUUUCAUUCAAUUUCUCAUUAUUCAUCAAAUAUAAAACCAUCAGUGCGAAAAAGCUUGAGGGUCAACGAACCAACCUUCAGUUCUGGACUCCGACUGCCCACAGUCGGUAUUCUGACUGGUCUCAUCUUCAUUGAGGUCAGGAGCAUCAUCACGAUCUGCAUCAUAUGGAUAUGACCAGUCCCUUAGAGGACUUGAAUGAUUGUUCACAUUGUCAUCACCGCUAGUGUUUUUUGCAACUAAUGGCAAUUCUUCUUGCACAACAUUAUCAUCACCACUAGUGUUUUCUACAACUGCUGGCAAUUCUUCCUGCAUAGGAUUUUCACGUGGUCCUGAUGUUUGCAGCUUUUUCAGUAACCUUGUUGAAGCUCCAGGAGUGACCUCUGUUGGUGGGAUUGACCUCACCCUCUUGGAAUGUCUACCUCCAGGAGCUCCUAUGCCCAGUCUGCAUAGGGCCCUGCAGAUUUAAAAGCAGAAGUUGCAAGCAUGUGAACAAAUUAGAAGCACUUUUAAGCUUUGGAAAUAUCUAGUGCUCUUUCUAAACAUUGGAAAUAUCUAGUGCUCUUUCUAAGCAUCCCCCACCCCUCGCCAAGAUAGAAGAUGCACCUCAAUUGCUAGGGGUAUCGUCUCCUCUUCUAAUUCUGUAUCAUCAUCCAUCAUCAGACUCUUCAACUUUAGGGAUGUAAUCUGAUAAAUCAGAAACUCCAUCACGACAUGCAUCCCUGCUAGACCUUUUCCCCUUCUUGCCUGAACUUUCCCCCUUUUAAAGUAAUUUUUUUCUUGACAAUGAAUUAAAAGCUGAUGAUAAACCACUAAUGCCAUGUUCUUCCAUUCUUCUUAAAAAAUUCCUUAUAGUUGCUUCCCGUUCUCUUUCGUAUUCAUUUUGUGAAGGUUCUAACAUGCGUAAGAAGAUUUUAAGUAUUAGUGACCUAGGUUGAUUUUAUAUUCGUGACUGGAAUUAGAAUACAGACCCACUACAACCUCUGACCCCAAACCGUGGAUGAAUGUGUCACUACCUACAACCAUAGAAGGUAGAUGGAUUUUGCAUUCCUCUUGUUGCGGGGCGUCGGCGUCUGACCAUUGUUAAUCGUUGGGGUAGCUAUGAUGGUGAGGCUGCUAUGAUGUAGUGGUCAUCGUCGAUGUUGUAGCACAUCCGGUGCAACGGGUGUCGUCGAAGGGGUAGUAGAUCUGGUGCGGCGGUUGUCGUCAACGGGGUAGCAGAGUCGAAGAGGUAGCAGAUCCUGUGUGGUAGUUGUCAUCGAUGGGGUAGCAGAUCCGGUGCAGCGGUAGUCGUCGACGGGGAAGAAGAUCCGGUGUGGCGAUUGGGAUGCAGCUCCGGUGCGCUCAGCGUCGUCGACGAGGUUGAAGCUUCGGCGUGGUGGCCUUCGGUGGAGGGAAGGGGUCGAGUGCCGGUGCGUUGGAGCCUGCUGGCGCAGAGGUGAAAGGUGAGAGGUGGAGGCGAAAGGCGAGAGGUGGAGGCAGAUCUGAGGGAAGGGAUAGAGAAGGGGCAAGGGAUAUGGGGCACGGGAGGAUAUUGUCACAAAUACCCUUGACAGACAGGGUAGCGGUGUGGCUAUUGCUUGAGGGUCCAAGGGACAUUUCACCGGAAAUAUUUUUGGCUUCGGCGGCAGAGUUGGCGCCCAAUGAAAAUUUCAGACCGUGGUAUCCCACCGACCCAUGGACCCCACAUGUUGGUGUUCUUAGAAUUCCUUAUGAAUGCUGUGACCAUUUCUUGUGAACAAGACUGUUUCUCUUUUUAAUCUCCAAUUUGAAAUUUGAAUUAGUCUCUCUCCCUCGUUAAACAUCCAAAUGACUUGAUUCUUUUUGUAAAGUGCAUCUAAAAUUAAGCUCGAUCCAAUCGUUGCUCUGUGUCUAAUCUCUUUUCUAUGAAAAUGGAGUCUGUUUUGAAAUUGGCAUGGUUCUUUCACUCUAGCUUUGGUCAAACAUACUACUUCAAUACACUACCUAUAGUACUAAUUUGUUUUGAAUUAGUUUCUUGUGUUCCACAUGAUAGCUUAUUUAAUUCUACCCUAAUGGCCUCCUUGCGAUCUUGGGCGAAGCGAUGGAGUUUUUGCUUGACCAGCCGUGCAGUCUUGCUCAAGUCCAAGGAGUGCUCAGCUAGCUCCCUGGGGACAUCGGGCAUAUCGGAUGUGUUCCAGACGAAUAUGUUCGAGUUUUCCCAAAGGAAACUAGUGAGCGCGAGUUCCUAUUUCUCCGAGAGGUCGGUCCGUAUGAGGGCCAUCUUGGUCGGGUCAUUUAGGCUGAGGCAGAUCUUCUUGAUCCUGGGGUCGAGUUGCAGCGCCGUGGGCGUCGGCUCCGUCUCAGGGAUCGUUAGCUGGUCCUUGCUCAUCUUCUGGGCCUCGGUUACCAUGACUGUGGCCUUAGCUAAAAACUCUAGGGCUUCUGCGAGCUGAACUACUGAUGAGGACAUCACCUGCUCGGAUACAACCACAUUAGUAACUUUUGACUCAAAAGGUGAUACAAUUCUUUACCAUGAUUGUAUUUGAUACAUUUGAUGAAUUGAUGUUGCACCAUGAUGUGUGUUCGUUGUCAAUUUUAGAAAUACAUACGUGGAUCAAAAAUAGUGUUAAACAUACAUGGAAGGUAUGGAGGACCAAAGAAGUAGAUUGGGGGCCAAGUCCAAGUAUUCCCAACGUCCUCCACCAGGCCACCACAUCACUUUUGGCC